AUUAAGGUGGCUGAAGUUUAAGCGGAAGACUGUAGUUCUUUUUAUGGGAGAAGGGCUCCUCCUUAUUA
rnacentral:tRNA from 1 species